GACAUGAGACAGCAGUGGACAAUGAGUACAAUGAUGCAGCUCGUCGUUGUGGAAAAUAGCACUAGCGCUGGCACUUUGGGUGUGCAACUGAAAAGUAACAAUAAGCAAUUUACAAUUAAUUAAGCCACUAAGCAGAGUAGGCAGAGGUAUCCCCUUCAGAUGCAGAGCUGUUUGCUUGACUGCCCUUUCUCUCUUCCUCUCUCUCUCUCUAUUUAUUAGUUGUUUUGCUGCCCCCAUGUCAGCUGAGGUCUGCUCACCUGUGUGAGAGAGAGUGUGUGAGUGUGACCGUGGGUGGGGUGGGGAGGAAGACGAGCCCGUCGAGCUGUGCCGAUUUUGCCCCCGAAUCCGUCGUUACCCCUGCUUUGGAGGGAUCUGAAGGUGCUGGUGGCCUGCUGCUGCCUGCCUGUCUGCCAGGAGCCCAGAGGCCAGAGGUGAGUGACUGGCCCGAUGAAUUCCGCAAUCUUGUGGAGCUGUGGUGCUGGCGUGGCGCUGCCGUGCUGCUGGGUUGGUUGGGUUCCCUUUCCCUCCCUGCAAAAUUUUCUGAGGCGGAGAAAAAAGUAAUAUCUCCAUUGCUUCCCCCUGCUUCCUUUUUUCAGCAGAGACUGUGGUGGUGGUGAUGGCGGCUGUGCAGCGGAAAGGCUUCUCGUCGUGGUACUAGUGGAGGAGGCGUGAAAUUUCAUCCAUAAAGGCUGUCGCGGUGGCCGGUGGGUGGAGAUCGCGCUCAAUUCCCGCCGAAACCGCCUCCGGGGUAGCGUGGCCGCGGGAAGUGGGAGUGGGAGAUGAUUACUUUCGUGGACUCGGCGGCCAUGGAGCUGGAGAGGGAGAGCGGCAGGUGCCUGGUGGACCCGCAGCUGUGGCACGCCUGCGCCGGCGGCAUGGUCCAGAUGCCGCCGGUGCACUCCAGGGUGUACUACUUCCCGCAGGGCCACGCCGAGCACGCGCAGGGCCACGCCCACGCCGACCUCCCCGCCGGCCGGGUCCCGGCCCUCGUCCUCUGCCGCGUCGACGCCGUCCGGUUCCUGGCCGAUCCGGACACCGACGAGGUGCUCGCCAGGGUCCGCCUCGCCCCCGUCCGGCCCAACGAGCCGGACCACGCCGACGCCGCGGCGCCGGGCGCGCGGGAGGACAAGCCCGCGUCCUUCGCCAAGACGCUCACGCAGUCCGACGCCAACAACGGCGGGGGCUUCUCCGUGCCGCGGUACUGCGCCGAGACCAUCUUCCCGCGGCUGGACUACUCCGCCGACCCGCCCGUCCAGACCGUGCUCGCCAAGGACGUGCACGGCGUCGUCUGGAAGUUCCGCCACAUCUACCGCGGCACGCCCCGGCGCCACCUGCUCACCACCGGGUGGAGCGCCUUCGUGAACCAGAAGAGGCUCGUCGCGGGGGACUCCAUCGUGUUCAUGAGGACGGGGAACGGGGACCUCUGCGUCGGCAUCCGGCGCGCCAAAAAGGGCGGCAUCGGAGGAGGGCCGGAGUUCCCGCACCACCAGCCGCCAGACGGCGGCGGGUACGGGUACGGGUACGCCGGCUUCUCCACGUUCCUGAGAGGAGAAGAGGACGACGCGGCCGCGAGGGGCAAGGUCAGGGUGCUGGUGCGGCCGGAGGAGGUCGUCGAGGCCGCCAACCUCGCGGCGAGCGGGCAGCCGUUCGAGGUGGUCUACUACCCGAGGGCGAGCACGCCGGAGUUCUGCGUCAAGGCGGGGGCGGUCCGCGCGGCCAUGCGCACCCAGUGGUGCGCCGGGAUGAGGUUCAAGAUGGCCUUCGAGACGGAGGACUCGUCCAGGAUCAGCUGGUUCAUGGGCACUGUCGCCGCCGUGCAGGUCGCUGACCCCAUCCGAUGGCCCAAUUCACCCUGGAGGCUUCUUCAGGUCGCUUGGGAUGAACCGGACUUGUUACAGAACGUGAAGAGAGUGAGCCCAUGGCUGGUCGAGCUUGUCUCAAGCACGCCGGCCAUCCACCACCUCACGCCGUUCUCGCCGCCAAGCAGGAAGAAGCUGUGUAUCCCAUUGUACCCGGAGGGCCACCAGCUCCCGGCGCCGAUGUUCCACGGAAGCCCUCUGGUGGGCCGUGGUGUUGGCCCGAUGCGCUACUUCCCGGACGGCGGCACUCCUCCUGCAGGCAUACAGGGAGCCAGGCAUGCGCAAUUCGGCAUAUCUUUACCAGAUCUCCACCACCUCACCAGGCUGCAGUCGAGUCUAUCGCCGCACGCGCACGGGCUUCGCCACCAGCUCGACCACGGCGCGCGGCCGAGGAUCGCCGGCGGCCUCAUCGUCGGCCACCCGGCAGCUCGGGACGACAUCUCGUGCUUGCUCACCAUUGGCACCGCCCCGCACAAGAAACCAUCAGACGUCAAGUCGGCCGCGGCGGCGCCGGCGCCGCAGCUGAUGCUGUUUGGGAAACCGAUUCUCACCGAGCAGCAGAUAUCUCUAGGCUUUCGGCCGCUGCCGGCGCCGAAGAAGAGCCCGUCCGACGACGCUGCUGAGACUGAGAGGACGGUGAGCAACAACUCGGAUGCCUCGAGCCCAGCUGGGACUGCGAGUGGGAGCACGCCGUCCAUCAGUGGAGGCGCCCCGUCGUCGUGCCAGGACAACAAGGCGGCGGCGACGGCGACGGCGACUGAUGACGACGAUCUCCUCGGGCACUGCAAGGUGUUCAUGCAGUCGGAGGACGUCGGGCGCACGCUCGACCUCUCGGCUGUCGCGUCGUACGAGGAGCUCUACCAGAGGCUGGCCGACAUGUUCGGCGUCGACAGGGCCGAGCUGACGAGCCAUGUCUUCUACCGCGACGGCGCUUCUGGAGCGCUCAAGCACGCCGGCGACGAGCCUUUCAGGUCCGUACGGUGGUUUUCGUCAGUCUGAAGCGGCGUUCGGUUCCUGUGUCGCUUACUUGCUAGUGUUCCUGGCCGUGGUGCUAAGCAUUCCAACCUAACUACUAGACACGGUUAUCUUCAAGCAUCAAACUCAUCUAGGUGUUCUUUCCUUGGAAGCAUCCGAUCCUCAUGUGAGUUCACCAAGACCGCUCGGAGGCUGACCAUACAAACGGACGCGAGGUAGAAGAAGGCGGCAGACAAUGAAGCUCUCGUCGCCUGUACAACCGGGGGGAGCUAGCGAGCCGCGGCGGCGAUCUCGAAGGACGAUCGCCACUUGCAGAGUGCUGGUGCAGACUGCAGAGAGGGCGGUGCUGCUGUCGUGUCGGUCGUUUCUUAUCAGCUCUUUUGUUGCCUGCAAAAUGAAUUUAAAGAAUGUGCUCUGUCACGCUGCCACGUCAGUCAGUCAGCACGCAGUCGACACCGCCCACCGGUACUGUUCCACUGCUAUGUGGCCGUGUUGCGUCCA